CUUGCUUGAUCCUUCUUUGUGAUUCGUUUGUGUUUUAGCUUUUAUUUUCGGAACUUUAUUAACUACAAACUUGGCUAUUCAAACGGACUCUGAUUGAUUGCAAUAACGACAUACUCAGCCUGGGAUUUACUGUUUUUGUGUGGCUCGGCCAAGGCUCGGCUGGUGGUUCUAUGGUGUUAGAAAAUGAGCAACUUAAUUAUACACAACAAUGGGCAGCACCUCGAUCGGUUACAGCUCAUGAUCUUAUAUGCACAACAUGUUGGACCCAAGCCCAAGAUACAACACAAAUGCAUCUACUUCAAAUCUUAGCAGAAAAUGUGUGCUUUGCAGUAGAACACUAGAGCCUAGAACACGUUCACAUCAGCUCAUGUCCCUGAGAACUAACACUCAACAUCAUAUUAACAUCAGGAACAUAAUUGUGGAACGACUAACUCCAUUAGAGGUUACUGCAAAUGACUACAUCUGUGGGGCUUGUCACUCAUUAUUGCAAAGAGAUACCACACCUACUUCACAAGACUCUCCAGAUAUGCCAACCGGUGCCCCGGUAGGUCACCAACAAGUUUGUGUUGGAUGUGGUUGUUCAUUAUUGCGAACUUGAAGUCAUUGUUUGGAUACAGAGAAUAAUCAAGAUAUAUUAAACAUUGUUCGAAAUUGGAUUCAACCCAGAGAGAUUCGUCCUUCAGAUCUUCUUUGCCAUAGAUACUAUCAGAGAGCACGAAUUACUACAGUUGGUGCUUAUUUAAUGAAGCUGAGGACCGGUGAUUCAGAUGACAGAAUAGCUACAUUACUUGGCAUUUCAAGGAGUACUCUUACAAAAUAUGUAAUGAAAGCACGCAGUAUGAUGGAGGAACAUUUCGUACCAGCACAUUUAGGGUUACAACAUAUUAGUAGAGAGGAAGUAGCCCAAAGAAACCUUUAUGUUCCAGUCUCUUUUCGGGAAGCCAGGAAACGAUUUACCACAAAGAAAGGCUAUUGUCAUCAUGGAUGGUACAUACAUACAUUUAUGUGCAAAAAAGUAGCAAUUAUGCAUACCAAAAAAAAAACUUAUUCCCUAUACAAAUAACGGAAUCUCGUUAAACCAUUUAUGGUACUUUGUUGUGAUGGCGACAUCAUUGAUGUAUUGGGCCCAUAUUUAAUAGAAAAUGUAGAA